CUGACUGUGUGUGUGUUUGUGAGUGUGUGUUUGUGUCUGUGUAUGUGUCUGACUGUGUGUGUGUGUGUUUGUGUCUGACUGUGUUUGUGUCUGUGUAUGUGUCUGACUGUGUGUGUUUGUGUCUGACUGUGUUUGUGUCUGACUGUGUGUGUGUGUGUUUGUGUCUGACUGUGUGUGUGUGUCUGACUGUGUGUGUGUUUGUGUCUG